rnacentral:rRNA from 1 species
GACGAACGCUGGCGGCGUGCUUAACACAUGCAAGUCGAACGGAAAGGCCCUGCUUGCUGGGUACUCGAGUGGCGAACGGGUGAGUAACACGUGGGUGAUCUGCCCUGCACUUCGGGAUAAGCUUGGGAAACUGGGUCUAAUACCGGAUAGGAGCCAUCUUUAGUGUUGUGGUUGGAAAGUUUUUUCGGUGUAGGAUGAGCUCGCGGCCUAUCAGCUUGUUGGUGGGGUAAUGGCCUACCAAGGCGGCGACGGGUAGCCGGCCUGAGAGGGUGUACGGCCACAUUGAGACUGAGGUACGGCCCAGACUCCUACGGGAGGCAGCAGUGGGGAAUAUUGCACAAUGGGCGCGAGCCAGAUGCAGCGACGCCGCGUGGGGGAUGAAGGCCUUGGGGUUGUAAACUCCUUUCGCUAGGGACGAAGCUUUUUGUGACGGUACCUAGAUAAGAAGCACCGGCUAACUACGUG